CGGGGCGUAGCGCAGCCUGGUAGCGCACUUGGUUUGGGACCAAGGGGUCGAAGGUUCAAAUCCUUUCGCCCCGACCA
rnacentral:tRNA from 3 species